rnacentral:misc_RNA from 3 species
AACGCACCUUGCGCCUCUUGGUAUUCCGAGAGGCAUGCCUGUUUGAGUGUCUUAUAAAAUCAAUCCCCACGGGUUUCUGACCCGGCGGUGGACUUGGAGUUGGGCGUCUGCCGGUCACACGGCUCGCCUCAAAGACCUUAGUGGGAACAUCGGCCUAUGGCUUGACGUAAUAAGUUUCGUCUCGCACGGUCGGUGACGCCUGCUCACAACCAGCCCUCGGGCAAUUACUUUUUGCUAGACCUCAAAUCAGGUAGGACUACCCGCUGAACUUAA